GUCGGCAGCCAUAUCACCCUGUAGCCCAAGACUGGUUGCCCACUGAAGCUAAGCAGGGCUGAGCCUGGUCAGUCCCUGGAUGGGAGACCUCCUGAGAAAAACUAGGUUGCUGCUGGAA
rnacentral:rRNA from 1 species